UUGUGGUCUAAGUGAGAAACAUCUCAAGAAAAGUUAUUACGGACUGUUGAUAAUUUUUACGGUUUUCAAAAGUUAAAGACUCGGCAAUUUAGAACAUGACAUACAGGUACAUUUACUGUACACACUCGUAUAUUAUUUCAUACUGUAUGAUGACCUCUAUAUGUUGUUCUUUGUUUGGUUUUGUUUGGUGGCUGCUGUUUCAUUACACAUACUCCCUUAAUAUCCUUUAAUUUACGUUUUUAUCACUGAGAAAAUCCGUUUUUGUUGAUACGAAUUUAAAAAAAGUUAGCGUCGAUUGGACAGUAAUCAAAUUUGACGCGCAUUGCAAUUUAAAUUAGAAUUUACGCUAGGACGUAAAACAUUUCGAUUGCGAAUUAAACUAAUUCGAAUUACGUGUGAACUCAGCAUUCUCCUGCAAACGGAACUUCUUUUUUUUUUGUACAUAAAUUGCAGCACAUAAAUUAUGCCGUU
rnacentral:lncRNA from 1 species